AUUGAACGCUAGCGGCAGGCCUAACACAUGCAAGUCGAGGGGCAGCAUAAAAUAAACUUGUUUAUUUGGUGGCGACCGGCGCACGGGUGCGUAACGCGUAUGCAACCUACCUUACACAGGGGGAUAGCCCGGAGAAAUCCGGAUUAAUACCCCAUAGCACUGUUGAUUGGCAUCAAUUGAUAGUUAAAGCUUUGGCGAUGUAAGGUGGGCAUGCGUCCUAUUAGCUAGUUGGUGAGGUAACGGCUCACCAAGGCUACGAUAGGUAGGGGGCCUGAGAGGGUGGUCCCCCACACUGGUACUGAGACACGGACCAGACUCCUACGGGAGGCAGCAGUGAGGAAUAUUGGUCAAUGGGCGCAAGCCUGAACCAGCCAUGCCGCGUGAAGGAUGAAGGUUCUAUGGAUUGUAAACUUCUUUUAUUUGGGAAUAAACCUCUUUACGUGUAGAGAGCUGAAGGUACCAAAUGAAUAAGCACCGGCUAACUCCGUGCCAGCCGCCGCGGUAACAC
rnacentral:rRNA from 1 species